GUUGUGUUAGGAAGGAGGACGGGAAUGGUAAAUGCUGACGCUACAGGCGGCAGUCUGUGCCUCAGAGAGAAAAUUUAUCCCAACCUUGCUGGGGGCCUUGACGCCCAUCUUCCUCCAGAGCACCCCGACAGUCACCCCGCCCUCUGGUGUCCUCCCACCCCGAGCCCGAUCUUCCCCCUUCACGCCUGCCCCGGGCCAAUAGCCUCCUAACUGCGUCCUCUCUGAUUGCGUGUGUCGUGCUCAUUACGCCCUAUCCGUCGUUUCUUCGCUCCACAAACGUUUACUGAGCGCCUUCAACUUGCCAGGCACUAAUUAGACUAGCGCAGAGAAACGGGGAUAAGUACUGAUGAGGGUCCCAGCCCUCAGCGAUCGGAUUUCAGAGGGGGAGAUAAAGGACUGCCCAGAAGGGUGGUGAGUGGAGUAGUUGAUAUAAACAACGAGGUGCGAUGAAAUACACAGGAGGGCUGCUAAUCACAUAUGGGGUGGGUGCCGAGGGCCCUUAAUUAAGGGAGGCUUCCUGGACGGGUGACACCCAAGCGGAGUCCUGACGACCCGCGUCAGAAGUAGUCAGGCGAGGAGGAGGGUAAAGGAAUCCACGUCCCAAGCAGAGAAGCAGCUUUCCCUACACAGCACAGGACACGGUCCGCGCACAGAAGCCGCAGGAGACGCAGGCACAGGGGCUGGGGAGAAUCCUUGCUGGGCCCUCGCCGUCCAUGCGCCGCCUCCCUCUGCCCGGUGUCUGGUGUCAGCCUCCUGCCUGGCAGAGGAACUCCAGCCCCUGCUCCCCGAAGCUCCUCCAGGCCUUCUGCUUCCCUGACUCGGAAUGGGCCCGCUGUCCAGUGGGUACAAGGCUGGUCUCCCCGCCCACUGGUGACGACGUAAAGAUCCAGCUCAGCCUGGUUUCCCCUGGUGAUGAUAUCUUGCGACUCGUCUUUCUCCAGGAAAACAGGGACCGCUCUCCGCCUACAGAUCUCUUCAACUACCUGUGAAAACUGAUGUGAUGAAAAGGGGAAUUUGAAGGAGCCAUUCCAGAAGACAGGGCGAAAACUGAAGUGCAAUCAGGGCCAAGAAAAACAGAAAUAGCAGGACCUGGAGUUGCAUAGGUUGAAUAGUUGAAUAGGCUGCUCUCCUCAGCUGGCAGGAAACCUGGCAGCCUCCUGGUGCCCAAGGACUGAAAACCUUAGAAGCACCUGGAGUUGGCAGCCUUGGCAUGGUCAGGUUGGCACCUCUGGAGGUGCCCAGGCUUCCCUGGCAGCAUUGUGAGCAGUGGAUGGUGUUGAAGGGCAGCCAGAGGAGGAAUGGAACACAUGCUCCUUGCUAACCACACGGACAAGGCCACGUUCACAGGUACACAAAGGCAACGCAGUUGCUCAGGUGCUUCGGUAUCACAGCCAAGACCCCUUCGGGGGAAGCUAGUCGGAUACUGGGACCCACAUUCCAGACUACUGAGCCGCGGUCGCGCCCUCGGCUCCGUUUCUGCUCCCUCCACCCCACGAGGACGGGGGUGGAAGGCCACCUUCGAUGGGUGCAUCCUCCACGAUGACCUGCUAACAAAGGUGCAUGGAUUUCAGAGUCUGAUUGGCCUACAACAGCAUUUGGCUUGUGGAGACAGUGGUUCCCUGAUGAAAAACUGCCAUGAUGGGAAUAGAAACAAUCAGAGGAAACUUCCGUGAGUUCCCAGGACACAUCCACCCACCUCCUCCACGUGUAACCACCACCUCUACCUUCCCCUCUGGUGCUGUGGAUGAGCCAUCCGUGCUCCUGGCAAAGGCCCACCUGCCACUUGGGCACAGGAACCCAUCCAUCCCUCCUUACCUCUGGUAACUCUCCCUCUCUCUCUCCUGCAUCCUUCAUAUUCUCUGGGUUGUAUUCUCUUCCAGCCCCCACCCCCUGCCCACCUCCAGCAUGUAAAAGUGCUGUUAUUGUUUCCACUUUAAAACAAACCCUAAAAAUAAGUAAAUAAAAUAAACCCUACCCUGACCCCACUUCACUCUAUAGUUACCAUCUCAUUUCCCUUCUUUUAACAGGAAAACUCCUCCAAACACUUGUCUAUAUUUGUCCCUGUCAUUCUCUCUCUCUCCCCCCUCUCUCUAUUUUUUAUUUUAUUUUAUUUUAUUUAUUUAUUUAUUUGAGACGGAGUCUCACUCUGUCACCCAGGCUGGAGUGCAGUGGCAUAAUCUUGGCUCACUGGAACCCCUACCUCUUGUGUUAAAGCAAUUCUCCUGCCUCAACCACCUGAGUAGCUGGGAUUACAGGCGCCCACCACCUCGCUGGGCUAAUUUUUGAAUUUGUAAUUGAGAUGGGGUUUCACCAUGGUAGCCAGGCUGGUCUCAAACUCCUGACCUCAAGCGAUCUGCCCACCUCCGUCUCUCAAAGUGCUGGGAUUAGAGGUGUGAGCCACCACGCCCGGCCUAUUUAUUUUUUUGAGACAGAGUCUCCCUCUGUUGUCCAAGCUAGAGUGCAGUGAUACCAUCUCGGCUCACUGCCACCUCUGCCUCCCAGGUUCAAGUGACUCUCCUGCCUCAGCCUCCCUAGUAGCUGGGAUUACAGCCAUGCACCACCACACCUGGCUAAUUUUUGUAUUUUUAGUAGAGAUGGGGUUUCACCACGUUGGCCAGGGUGGUCUUGAGCUCCUGACCUCAGGUGAUCUGCCCACCUCAGCCUCUCAAAGUGCUGGGAUUACGGGCAUGAGCUGCUGUGCCCAGCCUCAAUUAUUUUAAUCUUUGAAUAACUUCGGACUUGCAGAAAAGUUAAAAGACUUACAUGGAGAACUUCUCUACCCUCUUCCCCAUCCCCGCAAGGUACACAGUUGGUAAAGCGAGAAGUCUGGGGUUCAGUGACACACUUCUUAACUCCCAAGUUCGUGCUCUUUCUUUUCUCUCUCUCUCUCUCUCUGUUGUCUCUCCCUCCCUCCUUCACUCCCUCUCUCUCCCCUUGAUGGCCACAUUUACUUUAUAAUUUUCUCUCUCACUCUUUCUCUGUCUCACUCUCUCUUACACAACACACACACUCAUAAGAAGACACCUAUAUACAUUUUUUUCCUGAACCAUUGGUAAGUAAUUUGCACACAGGAUGUCCCUUCACCCCCCAGUCCACCAAUACUUCGGUGUGUUUCCUAAGAACAAAGGCCUUCUGGAAGUUUCACAUUAAUUCCAUACUGGAUCUACAGUCCGAGUUCAGAUUUCACCAAUUGUCCCAAUAAAGUCCUUUAGGUUUUUCUGGCCCAGGAUCACUUGUCACUUUUGGUUGUCAGGUCUCUUUAAGUCUCCUUCAGCCUUAUGUGUUGUCGACCUUUUUUUUUUGAGACAGAGUCUCACUCUGUUCCCCAGGCUGGAGUGCAGAGUGGUGCUAUCUUAGCUCACUGCAACCUCUGCCUCCCGGGUUCAAGAGAUUCUCCUGCCUCAGCCUCCCAAGUAGCUGGGAUUACAGGCCCCUGCCACCACACCAGAGUAAUUUUUGUAUUUUUAGUAGAGAUAGGGUUUCACCACAUUGGUCAGGCUGGUCUUGAACUCCUGACCUCAAAUGAUCCGCUCGCCUCGGCUUCCCAAAGUGCUGAAAUUACAGGCGUGAGCCACUGCGCCUGGCAGACUUUUUUUUUUUUUUGGAGACGUAGUUUCGCUUUUGUCGCCCAGGCUGAAUGUGGCAGUCGCUCUGGCCAAACCCUUGGAGUCACCCUCCACUCCUUUCUCUCACCCCUCAUCCCAACUGUCCGCAAAGGCCAUCAGCUCUGCUUUCAAAGUACACCCAGAAUCUGGCCACUCCUCAGCCCCCGCACUGCCCCCAUCCUGGCCCAAGCCCUCGCGCUCUCUUUCCUGGGAGUGUGCUAUGGUCUCCUCGCCGGUCUUCCGGUUUCUCGGCUCUGGCCCCCUGUGGCUUGUCUGAGCUCUCGCGUUCACAGGGAAGUAGUGGUCGCGCUCACUGGGCUACCGCCCUCCCUCUGCGCGCCCCCUCCGGGGGCAGGGAGCCCACGAGGCCCAGCCCGAUCCUACCCCCUCCUGGGUCACCUCCUGGACCCCCGCUCCUCCCGCCCAGCCCCCCGCCCCGUGCCGCCCCAGCCACUCGGUCCUCCGGGCCCACCCCAGGGCGUCGGAACUGGUGGUUCCCUCGG
rnacentral:lncRNA from 1 species